AAAUGUCCGUAAAGUAUCAUCACAUGAUUGGUUUUAGGGCACAUUUCCAACAAAUUUCCUUUUAUUUAUUGAGAUUUUAACUCACGUUUCGGAUUUGGAUUUGAGUUUCUAUUACCGAUCCCGGGUUCAGGGUGUGACACAAGUAAAUGUCUUUUUGGUGAUCGAAGCGAUCGACUAGAAAUGAGCCAUUGGGCACGUGGAUCCUCUUCUGUGAGGUACUCGAUUUACAACGCAUCAUGAAUGUGUCUUCAAAUGAAGGUAGCUUUCUGAGCUUCGUCAACCGGGACAUCCAUAGCCUCUUCAAUGGCGGCUCGUAAACUUUUAGCAGUGAGAUGGAGCUUCACAUCAUGGACCCACUUAGUUUUUUUUCCAAAUACUUCCAAACUAGUAAAUUCAAGCUUGUUUAAGUUUGAAAUGUCCCUAAAACAGAGGGUACAAAAAGAAUGUGGUUAGUCAUAUGGAAAGCAUAGACAUACAGUUUUGAACAUUUGGGUUCUAUAAACAUGUAUAGGUUUAAUUUAAACAUGAAAGCCUUGGGUUUCGUGGUGUAAAUUUUGAAUGAAAACUUCGUGUUUCAAAGGAACUAAAUUCGAAGCUACACGUUCGAUUUAGUUAUAAACUUCUGAUUCAUAAGCACCUACAAAAAUACAGAAUAUACAACCAAGUGUAGUGAAUUUGGGGCUUGCUUUAGUAACCUAAGUGUGAGUGUAUCGUGACUACGAAAGAUAGUCAAUGAUUCAAAGAAAAGAAUAAUUUAUUGAAUCGUUAAUUGCCAAAAAGUGGGCUUCACACCAAUAAUUUUGGAUGUCUUGUCAGAUUAGUUGACUGCUGGUCACUUUAAUUAAUUCAAUAGAUCGUAACCAUCUAGGUUUGAUCGUUAGAGCAAAAUAAUGACAUUCGGGUCAUAUUAGCUUGAAUUUUGGCUCCAGGUCAAGUGACAACAAAAUUAUAGCUUGAUAAGCGUUAACCAAUAACGUCACAAUAAUUAUAUGGGUAUGGUUAUGAAACAGGGAUGCAAAUUAUGGCAUCGGGUAGAAAAAAGACGCAACCCAGCUCGGUUGGGCUGGCUAUAUUGCACAAGUAGGGCUCUGCAGCACGGUUGCAGGCCUAUUGGCUCAUGGGGAGGGUUGGAGGCCAUUGGGCCUUGGGUUAGGAUAAAUCUAGCAGCAAGAGUUGUUGGAAUUUGGGCCAAAACUAGCACGGGGAAGCAGGCCCAGCACAAGUUGGCCUGGGUGGGUACGCAGCGAGCCUAACGUAAGCUAGCUUUGGGUUUUGGGCCAGAGCGUGGCAAGCCCAGUAGCACAGGGGAUGCUGGCAAGUGGGUUGGGGCACAAGGCAAACCUAGAAGUAAACGGGGCUUGAUGCAAGCGAGCUGUAACACUUGGGCAAGUCCAGCAAGCAAAAGGCUUGUUACAGGCAGGCCGGGGCUCAUAGGGACAAGCCCAAUAGCAAAAGGAUACUGGUUUUAGGUAGGGGCACAUGUGACAAAGCCCAUCAUUGUUGCAGGCUUGCUGGAGAUGGGUUGGGGGCUAU
rnacentral:lncRNA from 1 species